GCCCGGCUGGCUCAGUGGAAGAGCGUGCGACUCCUGAUCUCAGGGUUGUGAGUUCGAGCCCCGUGUCGGGCG